rnacentral:rRNA from 1 species
GUAUGAGAUCAUUCCAGCACUAAUGCACUGGAUCGCAUUAGAACUCCGAAGUUAAGUGUGCUUGGGCGAGAGUAGUUGUAGGAUGGGUGACCUCCUGGGAAGUCCUCGUGUUGCACCCC